rnacentral:rRNA from 1 species
AUUGAACGCUGGCGGCAGGCCUAACACAUGCAAGUCGAACGAGUGGCGGACGGGUGGAUAAUGUGUGGGAAACUGCCAGAUGGAGGGGGAUAACUAAUGGAAACGGUAGCUAAUACCGCAUACCAUCAGAUGUGAGCAGAUGGGAUUAGCUUGUUGGUGGGGUAACGGCUCACCAAGGCGACGAGCCCUAGCUGGUCUGAGAGGAUGAACAGCCACACUGGAACUGAGACACGGUCCAGACUCCUACGGGAGGCAGCAGUGGGGAAUAUUGCACAAUGGGCGAAAGCCUGACGCAGCCAUGCCGCGUGUAUGAAGAAGGCCUUCGGGUUGUAAAGUACUUUCAGCGGGGAGGCGUUACCCGCAGAAGAAGCACCGGCUAACUCCGUGCCAGCAGCCGCGGUAAUAC